AGAACGAACGCUGGCGGCAUGCCUAACACAUGCAAGUCGAACGAGACCUUCGGGUCUAGUGGCGCACGGGUGCGUAACGCGUGGGAACCUGCCUUUAGGUUCGGAAUAACUCUCCGAAAGGGGUGCUAAUACCGGAUAAUGUCUUCGGACCAAAGAUUUAUCGCCUUUAGAUGGGCCCGCGUAAGAUUAGGUAGUUGGUGGGGUAAAGGCCUACCAAGCCGACGAUCUUUAGCUGGUCUGAGAGGAUGAUCAGCCACACUGGGACUGAGACACGGCCCAGACUCCUACGGGAGGCAGCAGUGGGGAAUAUUGGACAAUGGGCGAAAGCCUGAUCCAGCAAUGCCGCGUGAGUGAUGGAAGGCCUUAGGGUUGUAAAGCUACUUUUACUGGGUAUGAGUAAUGGACACGUACCCAGAGAAUAAGCUACCGGCUAACGUCCGUGCCAGCAGCCGAC
rnacentral:rRNA from 1 species